UAACUAGGAAAAUGUAAGGCAUCCUCGCCUUGUCAAAAAAUGUGGGCUAUUUAGUUGUAGUGGAGGUUAUUUCUUUUUAUUAACCAACUUAUCGGUCUAUUUGUGCUUUUAUCGAGAGGUCAAUCGUCGAAGGAUAAAACGGUGAAAUUAAUUAUAAGAACAUUUACCUAAUAAGCUUCUUGUUAAAACGUUCAUUCUUUAAUUAUUUUUUUCCAUAUUAUCAUGUUCCAACAUCAUUUCAAAAAACAUUAAAACCCAACCAAACUGUGAUUCAUCUUGAUAUAAAGUUAUCGAAACAAAAUAAAUUUAAACCAAAGAUAUAAGUUGCCAUUUAUAUGUGCGGAAUUUUUACGAUUUUGUGUAACCACCUUAUUAAAAUAAAAAACAAAAAUCUUGUAAACUAUACAUUUCUACUUGUGUGCCAUGUUGUAUCACAUUAGAUAAUAAAUGUAGUAAUAACUAAA
rnacentral:misc_RNA from 1 species